GACUAAAAGGACGAGGACAUUAGUUUGUAGUAACAGCACUGGAAAUCUCAUCAGACCCUCCUCAGUCAUAACCAAGAGAACUCGCCGCUUGGCAAGUUGCAAGACCAACGACCUGUCCCCGCUGAGCCAGUCCAGACUUAAACUCAGGUCUGUGGUCUCUGCUGGUGAUCUGCACUGUUCUACAGCAGGCUCUACUGCACAUAUCGCUGUAACCACAGCACAGGGGCUGGUACUUUUUUUUUUUUUUUUUCUUUCUCUACAUUUCAGAGUCAAACUUGGCCUAAAACUAAGGAGUUUGUCCUUGUUCUUGAGUUCAGUGUAUGGAGUCAGAUUUUUGAAUAAAGUGUUCCUUAUGUGAGCUGAGGUCCUGUGGUUUAACAGAUUCUAGACAUUGAUGUUUUUCACAAGUCAAGUGUUUCUCUUCAUAGAUGGUGAGCUUUUCUGAAGAGACUAAAGAUGACAUUAACUGGGACAUGCUGGAUGACGUGGCGCGGUGCCAGAUUAAGAAGCUCUCGAGUCUGAUAGAUUAUCUGUCACAGCGGAGUGGCUGCGACAGAUGACCGAAGAAACCCAAAUAUCCCCGUGUCCAGGAUGUCUGUCCAGAUGGAGCUCAGAAACGCAUUUAACUUCAAGAAGUUUCUAUUAUACGUGUUCAGCUGAACAGUGUAUUUACAAUGCAUUUGUGUGGGUUUUAAAACUAAUAAUAAAAGAUUAAGUGUUAAUUCAUGACUAAGUGCCAAAUUAUU
ensembl:lncRNA